ACGUAGCUGCCUGCUCGGCUGGCUGUAGCUAUUUUAGGUGGCUGUGUUUUUAUUCGUGUUACUUGCCCUCAUUAGGCUGCUUGGUGGUUUUGGCAGUACAUUCCACUUCAAGUGAGGUUCCGGUUGAUCCCUGGCUGCGAUUGUCGGCUGACGGCAAGAAAUUGAGGCUGCCUUCCGUCACCGGCUGCUGUUUUGUUUCUACUUAAAGUUCCUUUUUGUUAUAUGUUUGUCCAUUGAUUACUGACUAUUGUUGCACUGCUUGCGUGCUGCCAGCUCAUGGUAACCUGCGGGUGUGCGUGCGGGUGUUGAGGAGUGUCGGUGAGGAUUAUUUUGGUUUCCUUUUAUGUUUAAGUCUCCAUUGUCUGCAUGUUUUGUUGUUCGUUUCCUUGUCCUCUCUGCUUCUGUAAAACCCCACCAGUGGCGAACUUACCCCUGUGACUGGGCACCUAACACUGUGGCUAUUUGUUAUUUGCAGUGCUCUUAUUUUAAGGUGCUUGUAGUGCCCAUUUGGGGUGUAUUGUUUUGCUGUGCUUGACUGUGCUACUUCACAUUCCUUUACUGCCCAAUCAGUCCUAAGGGGUGGGACGUCUGUUGGUCUCCAGAGGCUUGAUUUGUGUACUAGUUGAACGUGUGUGUUAUUUUGUGUUUGUUUUCUGGUUGUCCUUUUGGUUGCAGGAGUUGGGUACCCCCAGCAGGGAGGCCUUGGCACCUGGUGGUGGGUAUCCGCAUGUGUGUCUGACUAUCUUUGCAGUGUAGGGUCACCCGGGUGUGCAGUGUGUUCGCGUGUGGUCCCUUGGACCCCCCUCCUAGACAGAUUGCCCCCCUCUGGUAAGCCCCUCUCCUGCCUAUGUUUUGUGGUGUCUAUCAUGUCAUUGUGUGUGUGAUGACCAGCGGAGAACUUUUCCCGUAGAUAAAAGAAAACCCAUGUAACCUAAUUUAUGCAAUAAAGAAAUAUGUUAUUUUUGUAAUAGAA